UACGGAGGGUGCGAGCGUUGUCCGGAAUCAUUGGGCGUAAAGGGCGCGUAGGUGGCCCGGUCAGUUCGUGGUGAAAGCGCGGGGCUCAACCCUGCGUCGGCCAUGAAUACUGCCGCGGCUGGAGCACUGUAGAGGCAGGCGGAAUUCCGGGUGUAGCGGUGGAAUGCGUAGAGAUCCGGAAGAACACCGGUGGCGAAGGCGGCCUGCUGGGCAGUUGCUGACACUGAGGCGCGACAGCGUGGGGAUCAAACAGG
rnacentral:rRNA from 1 species